rnacentral:misc_RNA from 1 species
UGAAAUCUGAGGCGCAGGCAACACAA